CCCGCUCCGCUCCCCUCCCCCUGCCCAAAAAGACACCGGUCGCCUCCCGGAGUGGCGCCUCCAGUCGCGGCGGCGGCGGCGGUGGCGGCGGACGGAGGGCGCGAGCGGGCGGCCGCGGCGGCUGCAGCCGGAGGGGCGCUGAUGCGGCGCCUGGACCUUCGCUGCGCGACUUCAGGGGCGUCGGCCGAGUUGGCACUCCGCGAUGCAGCUCCUGAAGGCGCUCUGGGCACUCGCCGGGGCCGCGCUCUGCUGCUUCCUCGUCCUCGUCAUCCACUCGCAGUUCCUGAAAGAAGGGCCUUGGCAACUUCAGCUGCUUCUCUGCCUGAUCAAGGAGCCGCUGGGCGCCUGGGAAGCAGGGAAUGAACAGUUGGAGGAGGCGCAUGUUUGGGUCUCAGUGCUUUCUUCUGAGGUUGGAAGCCCCAGUCAGGUCAUGGUUUUCUGUGCUGCCGGGAUUUUCUCUCACUUGUAAGCUGUGGUUGGUGAUGGAGCCGAGCUACCGCCUGUCCCAAUUGCCCAUGGCGGGGGGCUCCCUCGGACUCACCCCUGGAUGGACUGGCUGGCUGCUGGGUGUGUCGGGGACACAGCCACAUUCCCAGGGUCUGCAUUGAAAGGAGACAACCCUAUUAGGGGUGAAGAAUGGGGGACCCGCGGAGCCGUUUUGCCACACUUUGGCUUUUGUGUGGAGCUGCAGGACACCCCAUGGCUAAUCCACGCCCCUUGGGCCGGUCUGUCGGCCAGUGUUCCUGAUGCAGAACCCCGGAAGAGGCCCUCUGUGGUCUGGGGCUGCAGCUGCAGCUGGGGGUGUCUCAGUCGGUACCGGGCCUGCCUGCCAGCAGGGCCCGGCCGGGUGGGCAGAGGCCCGGGGGACCAGCCCAGGACAUGGGCUGCAGUGGACAGGGACACUGAGGACAGGUGCGGCCUGCCUGGCCCUGGGCAGCCUGCCGUCCUCCCCUCUGUCUCCCUUGGGUGCCCCCGGCUCCUCUGCUGCGGAGACCCUCCUUUGCUUCUGAUGGGAGGGCAGGUGUGUUGCUUUGGUGACCACAGCCCACAUGGCUGGGGUGGGCCCGUGGGGAUGUGGGAAGCUCGUUUAAAGCCGAGCCGCUUCACUGGGGAGCGGAGGGCGUUGGAUUGGUGUGCGCCGAGGGGACGGGGGGCAGCCGUGUCUUUACCUCCUUAGGUGCUCUGCUCUCAAAGCACAGAAUUAUAAAACUGCUUUCCACCUGCCCUUUGCAAAGACUUUAUCCUGUUUUUUUCCACGUCUUUUAAUCACUUGACAGAUCAUGGCACUGCAGCGGAGGU